UUCCUCCGCGCUGUUCUGGAGACCCCGAGUCCCUGGAUCGUGGUGAAAGCUGCGUGCUCUAGGCCGGGAACAUAAAAGACCUCUGCUGGUUUCUUCACCGCUCAAGGAUGCGUUGGAAGAAAGAUAACAGAUGACUUAAAAUGAUUCAACAGAAAACAGUGUAAGAAGCUGAACCCAAGCAGGUUCGAGCACACAUUUUUUUGAACAAGUGCAGUCUACUUUGUAUCAA